CGCCUGAGAUUUAAUAUUUGGAUCGAUAUCUUUUUCUGUUUUUAAUUUUUGAAUUAAUGAGCAAUGAGAUAUAAAUCUUUUAUUUUUCGAUAAAUUGUAAAUUUUUGAGAAUAAGAUAAGUAAUAUCGAGGUAUGUAUUUUUUUGUAAAAAUUGUAAAAGCAUAUUUGAUAUUGUUUCUUUGUUUGAUUCAUUCUUUUAAUGAUUUCAGGUUAUAUUUAAAUAUAUAUCUGGACAAAAAACCCGAAGUUAAAAAUAAACAUUGGACCAAAAUAAAUAUGGAACAAAGAAAAUACAGAGACCUUGAGUGGCGCCUUAAUUUACAGACUUUAAUUCCUCGUGACGGAUCUUUAUAUAUUUUCUCCAUGAAUUCCUCGUAAUCUCGUUCCUAUUCAUUCAUUUUUUACAAAUAUAUUCCCAGGAAAGUAAUGUUUCAUUCUAACCAUUUUUUAUUAUUUAAUUAAAAAGAGAAUGGUUUAAUUUAAUAAAAUAUUACGAUUCAUUAAUUUCUAAAUUUUUUUUCUGAAAUUAAAUUUUCAUAACUAUAAUUACAUUUCAUUUUAAUACUCACCAUUUUCUAUUAUUCAAAAAAAUUCUAAUAUUUAAGAAGAAGAAAAAAAAAUUAUAGGAUAAACACAGGAAAUAUUUAAUUACUUUCUUUUCUAAUUCUUUAAAAUUUUCAGAUCAUCUCGACAAAAUCCACGAGAUACGCUCGCAAUGAACGACGAACGUGUACUGAACUCGAAUUGCCGAUCUUCCGCUUACCUCUGCCGUGUUGAUUCUCAUGGCCGGCACCUGGUUAGGUACCGGAGGCGGUGGUGGCGGUGGAGGAGGCGGAGGAUAAAGUCCUGCAACGAUUACCGAUUUAAUGGAAUGCUAACGAGAGGUCAGAAGAUGAUAAAGGAGGAUAGAAAGAUGAAA